rnacentral:tRNA from 1 species
GGGGAUGUAGUUCAGUGGGAGAGCGCAUGCUUUGCAUGUAUGAGGCCCCGGGUUCAAUCCCUGGCAUCUCCA